UAUUCAUUUAUCUCCCAGCCUAC
rnacentral:miRNA from 1 species